UACGAAGGGGGCUAGCGUUGCUCGGAAUCACUGGGCGUAAAGGGUGCGUAGGCGGGUCUUAAGUCAGGGGUGAAAUCCUGGAGCUCAACUCCAGAACUGCCUUUGAUACUGAAGAUCUUGAGUUCGGGAGAGGUGAGUGGAACUGCGAGUGUAGAGGUGAAAAUCGUUAGAUUAUUCGCAAGAACACCAGUGGCGAAGGCGGCUCACUGGCCCGAUACUGACGCUGAGGCACGAAAGCGUGGGGAGCAAACAGG
rnacentral:rRNA from 1 species